rnacentral:rRNA from 1 species
UGGGGAAUAUUGGACAAUGGGCGAAAGCCUGAUCCAGCCAUGCCGCGUGGGUGAAGAAGGUCUUCGGAUUGUAAAGCACUUUAAGUUGGGAGGAAGGGCAGUAAGCGAAUACCUUGCUGUUUUGACGUUACCGACAGAAUAAGCACCGGCUAACUCCGUGCCAGCAGCCGCGGUAAUACAGAGGGUGCAAGCGUUAAUCGGAAUUACUGGGCGUAAAGCGCGCGUAGGUGGUUCGUUAAGUGGAAUGUGAAAGCCCCGGGCUCAACCUUGGAACUGCAUCCAAAACUGGCGAGCUAGAGUAGGGCAGAGGGUGGUGGAAUUUCCUGUGUGGCGGUGAAAUGCGUAGAUAUAGGAAGGAACACCAUUGGCGAAGGCGACCACCUGGGCUCAUACUGACACUGAGGUGCGAAAGCGUGGGUAGCAAACAGG